UAACUCGAAAAUAUGGAACGAACUCACUAAAAUCCCUUAUUAAGGUUUCAAGAAACAAACGAGAUCAACUGAACCAGUGCAAGAAACCUUUGAAUCUACCAAUACUGGCACCAAGAACCCUCGUCACGAGCUCUGAUGCCAUUGUUACGAGAAGUUCAAGAAAAUCAGCCCACUUAUUUCACAAAAAUACGAAAUAAUAAACUGCAAAUGAAAGAAACAUAAAAAGAAAAUGCAAAUAACACAAUAUUUUUGCCCUAAGGCAAGAGGUUUGAAACCGGAGUUCCUAAUCCCCUUUUGAGCUUUCGUCAAACGAAAGAAAUCACUAUAUCAAUGGAAUCAAAUUUAUCCGGUACAAUCUUCGUAGCACUCAGCCGAAAUCACACAAGAUUUCCCCCAAAAAUUAAGCCUCAUAAACCGUACAACAUUCACUCAAGAAUGAUGAAUUGACGCCUAUACAACAAUCACUCAAGAUUAUUUCAACACAAGCUUCUAUACAUUCGACAAUGGCAUUCACUCAAGAAUAACACCAAUACACCUUGUUAAAUCACUCAAGAUUAACUAUACAAG
rnacentral:lncRNA from 1 species